UUAUUCCUAAGAUGUACGUGGAACAGACCAUUUUGACCGAACACCUAUACAUUGGGAGUUAUGUAUUUUAAUACAGCCAUAUCAUCCUUACUUAGACGUUCGUGAAUGAUUUUGUAUUAAAUCAGACACCCACCUGCCAUUAUGCGGGAUCAAAAUGUAUAUGUGAAACGGCAUAGUUGGGUGUAAU
rnacentral:sRNA from 1 species